AGAACGAACGCUGGCGGCAGGCUUAACACAUGCAAGUCGAACGCGUGUAGCAAUACACGAGUGGCGCACGGGUGAGUAACGCGUGGAUAUCUGCCUUUUGGUUCGGAAUAACCCCGGGAAACUGGGGCUAAUACCGGAUGGUUCCUACGGGAUAAAGAUUUAUCGCCAAAAGAUGAGUCCGCGUACGAUUAGCUAGUUGGUGAGGUAAUGGCUCACCAAGGCGACGAUCGUUAGCUGGUCUGAGAGGACGAUCAGCCACACUGGGACUGAGACACGGCCCAGACUCCUACGGGAGGCAGCAGUAGGGAAUCUUGCGCAAUGGGCGAAAGCCUGACGCAGCGACGCCGCGUGAGGGAAGAAGGCCUUCGGGUUGUAAACCUCUUUCAGGAGGGACGAAGCCACUCGGGUUAAUAGCCUAGAGGGUGACGGUACCUCAGAAGAGCCCCGGCUAACUACGCGCCAGCAGCCGC
rnacentral:rRNA from 1 species